UACGUAGGGGGCGAGCGUUGUCCGGAUUUACUGGGCGUAAAACGCUUGUAGGUGGCCACGCCAAGUCGGAUGUGAAAUCUCCCGGCUUAACUGGGAGCGGUCAUUCGAUACUGGCGGGCUCGAGGCAGGUAGGGGGAAGCGGAAUUCCCGGUGUAGUGGUGGAAUGCGUAGAUAUCGGGAGGAACACCAGUGGCGAAGGCGGUUGCCUGGAGCUUUGCUGACGCUGAUGCGCGAAAGCGUGGGGAGCGAACAGG
rnacentral:rRNA from 1 species